rnacentral:rRNA from 1 species
CAUGUAGGCGGAUUAAUAAGUUUGAAGUGAAAUCCUAUAGCUUAACUAUAGAACUGCUUUGAAAACUGUUAAUCUAGAAUGUGGGAGAGGUAGAUGGAAUUUCUGGUGUAGGGUAAAAUCCGUAGAGAUCAGAAGGAAUACCGAUUGCGAAGGCGAUCUACUGGAACAUUAUUGACGCUGAGAUGCGAAAGCGUGGGGAGCGAACA